UACUCUGCAAUUUAUAGGAUGUUCUGAGA
rnacentral:piRNA from 1 species